GACCACAUAGUGGUAUUCUGUAUUAAAGACAAAAACAAACAAACAAACAUACAAAAAAACCAAAGGCAGGCAGGUUAAGUUCCUCUGACCUCUUUCUGUCCAGGCAACUGCUGCUGACAGGUACUCUCUCAGUUAACCCUUCCUGGUAAUGUUCUCACAGACCUGCUUGGCAGCCUGGCUCUUAGUGGACUCUAGAUCCAAUCAAGCUGAUAACCGUGAUUAGUGUCACACAGUGAGAGCCCAGGCUGUAUCAUCUCACAACCCAUCUGUGGACUCUGUGACCUCAACACGCCCACCCAGAUUUGUCACAGGAAUAGAAGUCGGGCUGACAAAGGAAGGUCAGACACCUGGGAAAACACCAUCAGAGCACAUGCACCGAGAACAGAUCAUGUGACCAGUUCUUUCAUAGAAUCUGGAACUCACCAGUUUAGCCAGGUUGGCUAGCCAGUGACCUCUGGAGUGCCCUCCUCCCUGCCCCGGGAAUCACAGCCAUGGUGCCUCAUGACAGGAUGUCUGUGUGUGUGCUGAGGCUCAAAUGCAGGCACUGUGAUUGUGUGCCAUGGACUUCAUCCGCUGAGCCAUCUCUCCAGCCCAUGGCCUGGGUUUUGAGAGGUGAACUCGACCAGACUUCAGCCAUUGGCAGAACCCACAGAUUCAUUUCCUGGCCUGUGGAAAGGGCUGACGCCCAGUGGACAUCUUUGAGGUUCUAUCGAUAGCCAAGAGUGUAAACAAAAUAUGGCUUCUGUCUAAGGGGAUGGGUGGAGGGGACCAUUGGUGGAUGCUACCCUUCUCAUGGCUUUAAGUCUCUGUUGUGGGUUCUCGUCCCUAUUCUGUUCCCUAGUACUUAGCUUAACGUGCUGUAAUUUAAACCAUCAGCGUCCACCUUCAAAGACCUCACAGAACAUAGUUACCGAGGGCGCAAACACUGAAAAGUUCACCUGGCUACUGCCCAGUCACACCGAUGUGCCACAUGGGGUUUCUACCCCGGAGUAAGUUUCCUAACAGUUGAUCUGAUGAACACCGUUUCCUACCCCAGAAGGAGGACCCCAGGCAGCUUGCACUCCUAUGUGGGGGAGCCAGAACAAUCCUGAGUUUCCCCAGGACUCCAGAGAGUCUCCUGUGAUGUAAUACUGGAGCUGCUGGAAGGUAUGGGACCAUAUGACCUUUGAUCUCCACAUGGGAUAGGAUACCAUGGCAACCAGACCUGAACAGCAGCAGGUGGCAGGCACCGUGGAUGGCAUGGAGCACCAAGGACGGAGUGGAACGUGUACUCUCUGGAGGUGAGGAGAGGCCUGCUCUGCUCAUAGUACAUGACAGCCAUCGCCCAAGGGAUGAUGGGACAAUAAUGUGCUCCAGAGGCAUUGCCAUGCUUCAGCUGUCAGGCCAGACCACCGUCUUCACCAGAAUCCCGAGCUAACCCAACUUUCCCAAGCUAUGGAAUCGCCAGAAAACAAGCCCACAGAGGCGUGGCCUUGCAUGCUCAGGAACAGAUGGCCACACUCAGCAGCCUCAGGAGGUGCCAGUCCUGCUGGUACCCAGCGAUGCCCAGGACAGAGUGGUUCUGCAAGGUCUGCUAAGUCUGGAGCUAAGAAGCGCAGCUGGCUACAUCCCGCCACCGAUCCAUGCCACACCUCCGUCCUCACCACGCGUCUCAUGUCUCACUCCUCACACUUCCCGGGAUUUGCGGUCAGAGGAGGUAAAGGCCCAAGAGCACUUCAUAGGCCAGCUUGGUGUCAGACCACACAAAGAUGGAGGGCACUGGACCUCAGCCCCACACAGUGCUUACCACCCAGGGACCAUGGAAGACCUCAUCAUUAACAGAGCAGCCUGAAGCACACAGUCAUCCACUGUAUGUCCAGGGACCACUCUGGGAAGAUUCACUCCCUAGGUACCUGCCUCACCCUGGAACUCCUCCCUCGGCCUCUGCUCUGGAACUCUGACACCUUCCUCUACAAGGCCUUCCCCAGAGCUGGGCUGACACCAGGCGCUAAACUUCCAGAAUGCUGAGAGCUAAAUGAACCUCUUCUCUCCAUACAUUAACCAGCCUCAGUUAUGUCGUUAUAGUCAAGGAAAAUGGACCUGUGUAUCUUUUAUCUUCCUACUUAUAUAUUUAUGCUUUUACUAGAUAUGUUGGUGUGUGCGUGAGUGUGCGUGUGAAUGUGCGUGCAUGUGUGUGUAGUGUAUGUGCAUGUAUGGGCAUGCUCACCCUUGCCGGCAGGCAUGAAUGAAAGUCCAAGGUUGGAGGUGGAAUGACUUCUAUCAUUUCUCUACCUUAAUUUCCGAGGCUUUGUCCCCUACUAAAUCUCAAGUGUGGUGUUUGGUUAAGCUGGCUGGCUGGGGAGCCUCUGAGAUUGGCCCAUUUUUGUCCCCUUGCACAGAGACUGCAGGUACACACUGCCAUGCCUGGCUUUUACAUGGGUACUGGAGAUUCGAACUCAGGUCCUCAUGCUGUACAGCAGGUAUUUUA